UACGUAGGGUGCAAGCGUUAUCCGGAAUUAUUGGGCGUAAAGAGCUCGUAGGCGGUUUGUCGCGUCUGCUGUGAAAGCCCGAGGCUUAACCUCGGGUCUGCAUUCGAUACGGGCUAGCUAGAGUGUGGUAGGGGAGAUCGGAAUUCCUAGUGUAGAGGUGAAAUUCGUAGAUAUUCGCAAGAACACCAGUGGCGAAGGCGGCUCACUGGUCCGGUACUGACGCUGAGGUGCGAAAGCGUGGGGAGCAAACAGGG
rnacentral:rRNA from 1 species